GGAUUGACACAUCGGUCGUGCCUUAAGGGGUAUGAACUGGUGUAGUCAAUUUCUCACCUUCUGGAGAACCGCGCUGUCCUUAAUUGGGUGACGCGGGGAACCAGGACCUUUACUUUGAAAAAUUAGAGUGUUUAAAGCAGGCAUUUUGCUUGAAUACAUUAGCAUGGAAUAAUAAAUAGGACGGCAUGAUUCUAUUUUGUUGGUUUCUAGGAUCACCGUAAUGAUUAAUAGGGAUAGUUGGG
rnacentral:rRNA from 1 species